rnacentral:rRNA from 1 species
UACGUAGGGUGCGAGCGUUGUCCGGAAUUAUUGGGCGUAAAGGGCUCGUAGGCGGUCUGUCACGUCGAAAGUGAAAACUCAGGGCUCAACCCUGAGCCUGCUUCCGAUACGGGCAGACUAGAGGUAUGCAGGGGAGAAUGGAAUUCCUGGUGUAGCGGUGAAAUGCGCAGAUAUCAGGAGGAACACCAGUGGCGAAGGCGGGUCUCUGGGCCGAUACUGACGCUGAGGAGCGAAAGCGUGGGGAGCGAACAGG